rnacentral:rRNA from 1 species
UACGGAGGGUGCAAGCGUUAUCCGGAUUUACUGGGUUUAAAGGGUGUGUAGGCGGGUCUUUAAGUCAGUGGUGAAAUCUCCGAGCUCAACUUGGAAACUGCCAUUGAUACUAUUGAUCUUGAAUUCUGUUGAGGUUGGCGGAAUAAGUCAUGUAGCGGUGAAAUGCAUAGAUAGUGAACUUAGAACACCGAUUGCGAAGGCAGCUAACUAAGCAGAUAUUGACGCUGAGCACGAAAGCGUGGGGAGUCAAACAGGA